CCCGGGCCAGCUCUCCCAGAUGCAUUUACACAUGACACUGCCUCCUCCUCUUUUCAAACCUGUGCAGCUCUAUGCUCCUUAUUUUUGUAUUUCCAAAGGUUUGUUUUUGACUCACCUUUCCUGCGUUCCUUUCUCUCAUCCGUGCAUCAUUUGGAAAACACAAAAGUGCUGCUCCUGAGGUUUAGCACCUUCUCCCUGUAGCCACUCACCAGCAAGCCCACUCUCCCAUGGCAGGACCUGGAGCCUGUCAUUCGGGAACCAUGUGAUAGCACUCAGAAUCUUAGAAGCAAGAACAGCAGAUUUGGAGUGCCUGCAUUUCUUAUGGGAUACUGAUCUGGCCAGCUUUUCUUUCCCAUAGGAAUGGAGAAAAUCGUGGCAGAGAUGAUCCAAACAACCCGAUGAGCUCAAAAGUGAAUUGUGUUUGCCUUUGAAAUGGGGUCUCAGAUUUGCACUUAUUCCUUCUGCACAAUAGCACGACAGUCAUCCAGCAGUGGCGGUGGUAUUGAGGGUGUUUGUGCACGCUGCCUCUGCGUGGAGCAGGAAGGCAGGCUAGAAAUGUAUUUGGAUGGCUGAGGGGUAGGGCCACAGACUGGAACCCUUGGUGUGGGAUGGUGACUCAAUGGCAUGUUACCACACAUCAGCAGACGAAGAGAGCUUUCUUCUUGCUCCCAGGCCUCCUCUUGACUAGACAAUGCAUUUCUGCUGCUGGUUGCUUCAAGGUAACUCUGAGUAAAAGCCCUUUCGCUAUGAGGAGGGAGACACUUAGAGGAGUCUGUAACACCCUUGUAAAGAGCUCCUCAGGGAACAAGGUCUAGAAAGAAGGGUACAGAAUGGAAAGCCAAUUGGUUGUUUCCCCAGCCCUGCCCCCAUCUGAGGAUCCUGUUUUAUAAACUUG
rnacentral:lncRNA from 10 species